AAGCGCUUGCGACCAGACUUGCUCUCGGUUGAUCAACCUGGUGUUCCUCACCGGUGCACUCUGCCGAGGUCAGGCCAGCAUCGGUUUGGGCGGUUGGAGAAAGGCCGUGGGGAUGUGACUUCCUUCGGGGAGUGUUAUAGCCCU
rnacentral:rRNA from 1 species